GUGGCGGACGGGUAAGUAACGCGUGAGUAACCUGCCUUUCAGAGGGGGAGUAACGUUCUGAAAAGAACGCUAAUACCGCAUAACAUCAAUUUAUCGCAUGAUAGGUUGAUCAAAGGAGCAAUCCGCUGGAAGAUGGACUCGCGUCCGAUUAGCCAGUUGGCGGGGUAACGGCCCACCAAAGCGACGAUCGGUAGCCGGACUGAGAGGUUGAACGGCCACAUUGGGACUGAGACACGGCCCAGACUCCUACGGGAGGCAGCAUG
rnacentral:rRNA from 1 species